rnacentral:rRNA from 1 species
UGAGUACGUGAUGCUACGGCAUCGAAGCAGUCUAUGUCAUACUUCCAAGAAAAGCUUGCACUGUCAGAAACAGAUAAUGCCUGUACCAUAACCGACACAGGUGGGUAGGUAGAGUAUACUAAGGGGCGCGAGAUAACUCUCUCUAAGGAACUCGGCAAAAUGACUCCGUAACUUCGGGAGAAGGAGUGCCUUAUUUUUAAGGUUGCAAUAACAAGAUCCAAGCAACUGUUUACCAAAAACACUGGUCUCCGCUAAGUCGUAAGACGAUGUAUGGGGGCUGACGCCUGCCCAGUGCCAGAAGGUUAAAGAAGUCGGUUAGCAUUCGCGAAGCUGGUAACUGAAGCCCUGGUGAACGGCGGCCGUAACGAUAACGGUCCUAAGGUAGCGAAAUUCCUUGUCGGGUAAGUUCCGACCCGCACGAAAGGCGUAAUGAUUUGGAUACUGUCUCGGAGAGGGGCUCGGUGAAAUAGACUUGUCUGUGAAGAUGCGGACUACCUGCACCUGGACAGAAAGACCCUAUGAAGCUUUACUGUAACUUGAAAUUGAAAUUGGACUUUAUUUGCGCAGUAUAGGUGGGAGGCGUUGAAAAUAUUCUUGCGGGAAUAUUGGAGCCAUCAGUGAGAUACCACUCUUGUAAUGUUAGAUUUCUAACUUUAUAUCAUUAUCUGGUUAAAGAACAGUUUCAGGCGGGCAGUUUGACUGGGGCGGUCGCCUCCCAAAUGGUAACGGAGGCGCACAAAGGUUUCCUCUGAACGGGUAGAAAUCGUAUCUAGAGUGUAAAGGCAUAAGGAAGCUUGACUUUGAGACCUACAAGUCGAGCAGGGACGAAAGUCGGUCUUAGUGAUCUGACGGUGCUGAGUGGAAAGGCCGUCACUCAACGGAUAAAAGUUACUCUAAGGAUAACAGGCUGAUCUCCCCCAAGAGUUCACAUCGACGGGGAGGUUUGGCACCUCGAUGUCGGCUCAUCGCAUCCUGGGGCGGUAGUACGUCCCAAGGGUUGGGCUGUUCGCCCAUGAAAGCGGUACGCGAGCUGGGUUCAGAACGUCGUGAGACAGUUCGGUCCAUAUCCGGUGUAGGCGUUAGAAUAUUGAGAGGAGCCUUCUUUAGUACGAGAGGACCGAGAAGGACAUACCUCUGGUGUACCAGUUAUCGUGCCAACGGUAAACGCUGGGUAGCUAUGUAUGGAGUGGAUAACCGCUGAAAGCAUCUAAGUGGGAAGCCCACCUCAAGAUAAGUAUUCUCAU